rnacentral:rRNA from 1 species
GACGAACGCUGGCGGCGUGCCUAAUACAUGCAAGUCGAGCGAAUCUUUAGAAGCUUGCUUCUGAAGAUUAGCGGCGGACGGGUGAGUAACACGUGGGCAACCUGCCUGUAAGACUGGGAUAACUUCGGGAAACCGGAGCUAAUACCGGAUAAUCCAUUCCCUCACAUGAGGGAAUGCUGAAAGACGGCAUCACGCUGUCACUUACAGAUGGGCCCGCGGCGCAUUAGCUAGUUGGUGGGGUAACGGCUCACCAAGGCGACGAUGCGUAGCCGACCUGAGAGGGAGAUCGGCCACACUGGGACUGAGACACGGCCCAGACUCCUACGGGAGGCAGCAGUAGGGAAUCUUCCGCAAUGGACGAAAGUCUGACGGAGCAACGCCGCGUGAGCGAAGAAGGCCUUCGGGUUGUAAACUACUGUCACUUGGGAAGAGAAUGAGUAUGCUCAACAAACAUAUUCAUUGACUGUACCAAGAGAGGAAGCCACGGCUAACUCUGUGCCAGCCGCCGCCGUAAUAC